GCUAGUGUGGCGGAAUGGCAGACGCAUUCGACUCAAAAUCGAACGGGAAACCGUACGAGUUCGACUCUCGUCACUAGCACCA
rnacentral:tRNA from 1 species